rnacentral:rRNA from 1 species
GAUGAACGCUGACAGAAUGCUUAACACAUGCAAGUCUACUUGAACCUCGGUUUGGGUGGCGGACUGGUGAGUAAAGCGUAAAGAACUUGCCUCACAGUUAGGGACAACAUUUGGAAACGAAUGCUAAUACCUGAAAUUAUGAUUUUAGGGCAUCCUAAGAUUAUGAAAGCUAUAUGCACUGUGUGAGAGCUUUGCGUCCCAUUAGCUAGUUGGAGAGGUAACGGCUCACCAAGGCGAUGAUGGGUAGCCGGCCUGAGAGGGUGAACGGCCACAAGGGGACUGAGACACGGCCCUUACUCCUACGGGAGGCAGCAGUGGGGAAUAUUGGACAAUGGACCAAAAGUCUGAUCCAGCAAUUCUGUGUGCACGAUGACGUUUUUCGGAAUGUAAAGUGCUUUCAGUUGGGAAGAAAAAAAUGACGGUACCAACAGAAGAAGUGACGGCUAAAUACGUG